rnacentral:lncRNA from 1 species
GGGAGUGUCCCCACCAGCUCAGGAAGGCCCCAGGGUGAUCCUUCUCUACCCUGAAGACAAAUCCUCUUCUCAUGGCUGAUCACUCAAGGCCCUGCACAGGAGUCCUUCCUGCUCCCUCCCCUAGGAUGAAGGCCACCUGGGCUCCACAAACACCAGGCAUUUCCAUGGCCUCAUCUUUCCUUCUGCUCAGGGUGCAUCUCCCUUCUCCUGGGAUCCCUCCCCUGAGUCUGCCUCCCUUCGAGACUGUCUGAUUCUAAACUCUGCCCGCAUUCCUAUCCUCAGGUUAUUGCUCCCUGAGGCUAUAAGGCUGCAGGCAGGAUGUGCCAGGCAUGAGGGAAGCAAAGGGGUCCAUUGUAACAGGCACCUAAUUCGAGGCAGUAGGCCCAGAGGCUCCACAGGCUUGUCUGGAAUAGUCUGAGAAGUGGCCGUCUUCUCACAGCAAGGCCAGAGGGCAUAACCAGAGGGCCUGCCCCCUCUUCCUGGGCUGUGUUGCUGCUGAGGUGUGGCCCUGAAUCUCUGGGGCCUGCAAUCUUGGCCUUUCCAACCCAUCCACCAGCCUGGCCUGAGCUCUGUCUUUCCUGAGCCUGGGGCCCACCAUGGAACCAGGAGCCAGAGACGUUUGAGGUCCUGGAAUGGGGUUCCCCCGCUGAACCAAAGACCCUCAUGGAUCCAGGUAACAUUUUAUCCACAGGGGCAUCUCAGGCCAUGUGCCUGGGAUCAGUUUUGUCUAGUGGUAAUGGAUUUCACUUUUUGAUUGUGUGUUGCUUUGAAGGAAACUCAAUUAAUUUCUGUCUCCCUCAGCAUGUGGCAGUUAAAAUUGCAGUGAUAGGACAGGGAGGACCCCUUGCAAGUUGUUUUGUUCACUCAAGCUUUUAAAACUCCUGCCUCCCUUUGCUUAAUAUAGAAGUCUCAUUCUUCACUUUAGUGGUAAGCGACAUUUCUAAAUUAUUUCACCUUUGGUUGUAGUAGGCCAAACGACAGCCCCCAAACGUAUCAGCCCCGAAUCUCUGGGAUCUGUAAAUGUUACCUUAUUUAGAAAAAGGGUCUUUGCAGAUGUGAUUAAGUUAAUGAUUUUGAGACUAGGAGAUUAUGUUGGAUUAACUAGAUCGACCCUAAAUACCAUCACAUGUAUCCUUACAAGAGAGAGGAAGAGGGAGAU